rnacentral:rRNA from 1 species
AGAGUUUGAUCCUGGCUCAGGAUGAACGCUAGCGGCAGGCUUAAUACAUGCAAGUCGUGGGGCAGCGCAGUGUAGCAAUACAUGGGCGGCGACCGGCAAACGGGUGCGGAACACGUACGCAACCUUCCUUUAAGUGGGGGAUAGCCCAGGGAAACUUGGAUUAAUACCCCGUAAUACUAUGAAGUGGCAUCACUUUAUAAUUAUAGCUCCGGCGCUUAAAGAUGGGCGUGCGCCUGAUUAGGUAGUUGGCGGGGUAACGGCCCACCAAGCCUUCGAUCAGUAACUGGUGUGAGAGCACGACCAGUCACACGGGCACUGAGACACGGGCCCGACUCCUACGGGAGGCAGCAGUAAGGAAUAUUGGUCAAUGGACGCAAGUCUGAACCAGCCAUGCCGCGUGGAGGAUGAAGGUCCUCUGGAUUGUAAACUUCUUUUAUUUGGGAAGAAACCCACGAUUUCUAUUGUGGUUGACGGUACCAGAUGAAUAAGCACCGGCUAACUCCGUGCCAGCAGCCGCGGUAAUACGGAGGGUGCAAGCGUUAUCCGGAUUCACUGGGUUUAAAGGGUGCGUAGGCGGGCAGGUAAGUCAGUGGUGAAAUCUCCGAGCUUAACUUGGAAACUGCCGUUGAUACUAUCUGUCUUGAAUGCUGUGGAGGUAAGCGGAAUAUGUCAUGUAGCGGUGAAAUGCUUAGAUAUGACAUAGAACACCUAUUGCGAAGGCAGCUUGCUACACAGAAAUUGACGCUGAGGCACGAAAGCGUGGGGAUCAAACAGGAUUAGAUACCCUGGUAGUCCACGCC